UUUCUAUUCACUAUAAAAGAAUUAUGAACAAAGUCACCAUUUUAGACCAAAAAAAACCGUUUCUCUCUCUCUCUCUCAUUUUCAACUUUCAAGUCUUUCCCACCGUUAACGCGUAGUCUUCAAGUUCCAAAACGACACAGCAUCGAACUUUCUCUCUCUAUCUUUGUUUUCCUGAGAUUUUCUCGCAAAUUUUCUCGCUGCCUCAUUUUCCGGCAUUUUCACGAGCAGAAUUCCAAGGUUCAGUGUUGAGUGUCUCAUGUCAGAGGCUUUAUGAGUAACUUUGGUAGUAGAUUUUUCAUACUUGAGCAAUCAAUUUUAGGCAAGAAGAACAUUCUUGCAUAACCUGACAGUUGACGUCCGAUGAGAACAGACUGAGAAUGAGAAGAUCUGAAGCAUGCACUUCUGAGAAGUGAAAAUCCUUCCAUUUACCAUGGAGAUCAGGUUCAAAACUAGCAUGAGAGAGAAGAAUGUUAGGCCGAUGGAAGAAUUUAUUUGUCUAAUGAUGGAAGGCUCAUGCUUCUUUUGAGUACUUUGUUGAGCCUUCCCACCUAGUUUCUACCUCUUUUAAUUGUUCCAAUCCAUGCGGCUAAUAGCUUAGAGAUGUUGCAGCAUAAUCGGGUAGGACAAAUGAAGAAUUCAAAUUUCACUUGUUUGAAUGAAAUUGGUGUACCCUGUGAAGUAUGGUGAGUUGUUUGGAGUAAGCAGAUUGAGUGUCAUUUUGUUAGAAUGCAUAUUUCACUUUCCAGGUCAUUGAAGACCAAAUCAAGACCUUGAUUUCAAGAGAAAAUUAUGUAAUCGAUUACAACAGAAAAUUGUAUGAUUGAGACAAUUAAUAUGCAAUUCAAGUUCAAAUUUUUUAUUUUUUAUUUAUUUUUGUAUGUAAUCCCAUUAUAACAAUGGAUUCUAUUGUAAUGUAUUAUCAAGAAAAAUGUACAAGAAAAUAUGACUUUUUAGGCUCUUGUCCCAUGAAUAUAGGCCACAAAGUCAAA